rnacentral:rRNA from 1 species
GAUGAACGCUAGCGAUAGGCCUAACACAUGCAAGUCGAGGGGCAUCACAUGAAGUAGCAAUACGGAUGGUGGCGACCGGCGCACGGGUGAGUAACACGUAUGCAACCUGCCUUCAACAAGGGGAUAACCCGUUGAAAGACGGACUAAUACCCUAUAACACAGGGGUCCCGCAUGGGGAUAUUUGUUAAAGGACAACCGGUUGAAGAUGGGCAUGCGUUCCAUUAGCUAGUUGGCGGGGUAACGGCCCACCAAGGCAACGAUGGAUAGGGGAACUGAGAGGUUUAUCCCCCACACUGGUACUGAGGACACGGACCAGACUCCUACGGGAGGCAGCAGUGAGGAAUAUUGGUCAAUGGACGCAAGUCUGAACCAGCCACGUCGCGUGAAGGAAGACGGCCCUACGGGUUGUAAACUUCUUUUAUACGGGGAAUAAAGUGCCCCACGCGUGGGGUUUUGCAUGUACCGUAUGAA